rnacentral:lncRNA from 1 species
GCUGAGGUACAGUGCGCAGGCUCUCCCAGCGCUGUUCUCCAGCAUCAAACCCCAGAGCAACGCACAGACAGAGCUGCAGUGCUAUUCUGAGAGAGUUAGCUGCCUCAACCCACGCACAGAAUCUGAGAAAGAGAGAAAGCAAGAACGAGGGAGAAAGAGGAGAAGGAGGGAGCAAGAAUAAAGGAGAGAGGCAGAGACCAACUACAAGGAGGUUUACAAAAUGCCUACUAUAGUCUCUCACAUGCACACACACACACACACACACACACACAGCUACUGAUUCUUCCCCUUGAACUGUUCUAAGAGCAGCUGAUUUACAGUUCUGAUUAGCACUUCUUGUGUGUGGACUGUAUUUGCAGAUCUGUUUGCCGGUGCUGUUUGUGUGAUGUGCUGUGUUGU